UACGGAAGGCAGCAGUGGGGAAUAUUGCACAAUGGGCGCAAGCCUGAUGCAGCCAUGCCGCGUGUAUGAAGAAGGCCUUCGGGUUGUAAAGUACUUUCAGUCGUGAGGAAGGUGUUAAGGUUAAUAACCUUAGCAAUUGACGUUAGCGACAGAAGAAGCACCGGCUAACUCCGUGCCAGCAGCCGCGGUAAUACGGAGGGUGCGAGCGUUAAUCGGAAUUACUGGGCGUAAAGGGCACGCAGGCGGUUAAUUAAGUCGGAUGUGAAAUCCCCGGGCUUAACCUGGGAAUGGCAUUCAAGACUGGUUAGCUAGAGUCUUGUAGAGGGGGUAGAAUUCCAUGUGUAGCGGUGAAAUGCGUAGAGAUGUGGAGGAAUACCGGUGGCGAAGGCGGCCCCUGGCAAAGACUGACGCUCAUGUGCGAAAGCGUGGGGAGCGAAACAGGAUUAGAUACC
rnacentral:rRNA from 1 species